rnacentral:antisense_RNA from 1 species
UUUCAUGGUGGUCAUGCGUGGGGCCCAUUCUGGGCGCCGGGUUCUAGUGCGACCGGUCUACCAACCCGCGUAUGGCCGCCACCCUU